rnacentral:rRNA from 1 species
AGUACGCACAACGUUGGCGGAUUCGUCGUGUAGCGGUGAAAUGCUAGAUAUGACGAAGAACUCCGAUUGCGAAGGCAGCUGACGGGAGCGUUACUGACGCUGAAGCUCGAAAGUGCGGGUAUCGAACAGGAUUAGAUACCUGGUAGUCCGCACGGUAAACGAUGGAUGCCCGCUGUUUGUCCUCAAGGAUAAGCGGCCAAGCGAAAGCAUUAAGCAUCCCACCUGGGGAGUACGCCGGCAACGGUGAAACUCAAAGGAAUUGACGGGGGCCCGCACAAGCGGAGGAACAUGUGGUUUAAUUCGAUGAUACGCGAGGAACCUUACCCGGGCUUGAAUUGCAGGAGAACGAUCCAGAGAUGGUGAGGUCCUUCGGGACUCCUGUGAAGGUGCUGCAUGGUUGUCGUCAGCUCGUGCCGUGAGGUGUCGGCUUAAGUGCCAUAACGAGCGCAACCCCUCUCUUCAGUUGCCAUCAGGUAAUGCUGGGCACUCUGGAGACACUGCCACCGCAAGGUGUGAGGAAGGUGGGGAUGACGUCAAAUCAGCACGGCCCUUACGUCCGGGGCUACACACGUGUUACAAUGGUGGGUACAGAGUGUCGGGGGUAUGCAAAUGCCCUCCAAUCAUGAAAACCCUCCUCAGUUCGGACUGGGGUCUGCAACCCGACCCCACGAAGCUGGAUUCGCUAGUAAUCGCGCAUCAGCCAUGGCGCGGUGA